rnacentral:tRNA from 1 species
GGAAGUAUGGGUGAGCGGCUUAAACCAGCACACUGCUAACGUGCCGAACCGAAAGGUUCCGAAGGUUCGAAAUCGCCUUCAGCGAGCG